UGCAACUGUUUGGGUAAAGAUGUGCCUUCUGUUUUUGAUUUUCAAUUAGGUUUAUUUUCAUUUCUUUUGCUUUUUUGGUUAGCAGUCAUUCCAAUAAUAAUUCCCAAGGCAUAGAAUGUAAAAAGAACAAAAGUUUUUUUUGUACAGGGUGACUUUAUUAGUUGUAGAUGUGAAUGGAAAGCUGAUGAGCUUGACUUGAACAGGCAGCUGUUGCCAAAGAACCAUUGCAAUACUUGUAGAGAGUUUGUUCAGAUGCGCAAAAACGAUCACUGAUCAGGCCCAUUACCGCAUGGGGUGAUGGGAAUUGUGGAAGAGGAGUUACUAGACCUGACGCAGACAGAGCGGUGCGGCCCACUCAAGAGCAAAGCCUCAUGGUCUCCUGUGGCUGACCAUUAGGGAAGAGAAUUCAUCAUUGGAUAAAGAGACAGUCUUAUUCCCGGCAACUGUGACUUGGAAACAAUAUGCGCUCCCACCUAUCUGCCUUUGUUCAAUGAUCUUGUCAUCUUCGCGAUGUCAUCAGAAGGAAAAAGAUCUUGCGCGUUAAUGUGGACAAAUUCCUCAGAGGACUUCUACUGAAUCAUGAGAUGAAUCUUAGCUGAUCCUACUGUACACGCCCACUUUGAAUGAAAAUAAAACUUGCGGAGAAACCAAACUGGAAAUAAAAAUGUAUGUGCCAAUGGUAAUAAAUUGGUUCCCCAA